AACGAACGCUGGCGGCAUGCCUAACACAUGCAAGUCGAACGAGACCUUCGGGUCUAGUGGCGCACGGGUGCGUAACGCGUGGGAACCUGCCCUUAGGUUCGGAAUAACUCCCCGAAAGGGGUGCUAAUACCGGAUAAUGUCUUCGGACCAAAGAUUUCUCGCCUUUGGAUGGGCCCGCGUUGGAUUAGCUAGUUGGUAGGGUAAAAGCCUACCAAGGCGACGAUCCAUAGCUGGUCUGAGAGGAUGAUCAGCCACACUGGGACUGAGACACGGCCCAGACUCCUACGGGAGGCAGCAGUGGGGAAUAUUGGACAAUGGGCGAAAGCCUGAUCCAGCAAUGCCGCGUGAGUGAUGAAGGCCUUAGGGUUGUAAAGCUCUUUUACCCGGGAUGAUAAUGACAGUACCGGGAGAAUAAGCGCCGGCUAACUCCGUG
rnacentral:rRNA from 1 species